rnacentral:rRNA from 1 species
UUAAAUUGAAGAGUUUGAUCAUGGCUCAGAUUGAACGCUGGCGGCAGGCCUAACACAUGCAAGUCGAACGGUAACAGGAAGCAGCUUGCUGCUUCGCUGACGAGUGGCGGACGGGUGAGUAAUGUCUGGGAAACUGCCUGAUGGAGGGGGAUAACUACUGGAAACGGUAGCUAAUACCGCAUAACGUCGCAAGACCAAAGAGGGGGACCCUCGGGCCUC